AUGGCAAACAGGUCCAGGGAGAAGAAGGAGCAGCCGGCGCCGGCGGCAGAGAGCCUCCCCGAGGACCUCCUCCUCGAGGUCCUGGCGCGGGUGCCCUACACAUCGCUCUGCCGCUUCAAGUGCGUGUCCAAAGCAUGGCUCGCCCUCUGCUCCGACCCCGGCCUCCGGAUCAGGUCGCCGCAGGCCCUGUCGGGCUUCUUCUGCUACGCUCGCAGGGACUGGAAUAACGAGCUCCGCUUCGUCAACCUGUCGGGCCGAGGCCGGCCCCUCGUCGACCCCGGCCUCCCUUUCCUGCGCGGCGCGUGGGACGGGGGCGUCCGGACGGUGGACUGCUGCGGCGGCCUCCUCCUUUGCGAGUGCUGGAAGAGAUCCUCCGCGACCAGCUCCGACGCCGACGCAGACUACGUCGUGUGCAAUCCAGCUACGGAGGAGUGGACUGUCUUGCCUGCUAACAGGGAGCUGCUUCAGGACAGCAACAUCAUCCGUCUGGGUUUCGACCCGGCCGCUCCCUCCCGCUUCGCCGUGUUCGUGCUCGUGGGCGACCGGGUCACCAGAGUGGAGAUCUUCUCAUCGGAAACCCGAAGAUGA
rnacentral:rRNA from 1 species